UACGAAGGGGACUAGCGUUGUUCGGAAUCACUGGGCGUAAAGCGCACGUAGGUGGAUUUGUAAGUCAGGGGUGAAAUCCCGGGGCUCAACCUCGGAACUGCCUUUGAUACUGCAAGUCUUGAGUCCGAUAGAGGUGGGUGGAAUUCCUAGUGUAGAGGUGAAAUUCGUAGAUAUUCGGAAGAACACCAGUGGCGAAGGCGGCUCACUGGCCCGGUACUGACGCUGAGGUGCGAAAGCGUGGGGAGCAAACAGG
rnacentral:rRNA from 1 species